rnacentral:rRNA from 1 species
UUGACCUCGAAUCAGGUAGGGAUACCCGCUGAACUUAAGCAUAUCAAUAAGCGGAGGAAAAGAAACCAACAGGGAUUACCUCUAGUAACGGCGAGUGAAGCGGUAACAGCUCAAAUUUGAAAUCUGGUCCGUUUACGGGCCCGAGUUGUAAUUUGUAGAAGAUGCUUUGGCGACGAGUCCGGCCUAAGUUCCUUGGAACAGGACGUCAUAGAGGGUGAGAACCCCGUAUGUGGCCGGGUGCUCGACGCUAUGUAAAGCUCUUUCGACGAGUCGAGUUGUUUGGGAAUGCAGCUCAAAAUGGGUGGUAAAUUUCAUCUAAAGCUAAAUAUUGGCCAGAGACCGAUAGCGCACAAGUAGAGUGAUCGAAAGAUGAAAAGCACUUUGGAAAGAGAGUUAAACAGUACGUGAAAUUGUUGAAAGGGAAGCGCUUGCAACCAGACUUGGGCACUGUGGAUCAUCCGAGGUUCUCCUCGGUGCACUCGGCAGUGUGCAGGCCAGCAUCAGUUUGGGUGGUUGGAUAAAGACUUGUGGAAUGUAGCUCCUCUCGGGGAGUGUUAUAGCCACAGGUGCCAUGCGACCAACCCGGACUGAGGACCGCGCUUCGGCUAGGAUGCUGGCGUAAUGGUUGUAAGCGACCCGUCUUGAAACACGGACCAAGGAGUCUAACAUCUAUGCGAGUGUUUGGGUGUUAAACCCAUACGCGGAAUGAAAGUGAACGUAGGUGAGAACCCAUAAGGGGGCAUCAUCGACCGAUCCGGAUGUCUUCGGAUGGAUUUGAGUAAGAGCAUAGCUGUUGGGACCCGAAAGAUGGUGAACUAUGCCUGAAUAGGUGAAC